GGGGAAUAUUGGACAAUGGGCGAAAGCCUGAUCCAGCAAUGCCGCGUGAGUGAAGAAGGCCUUCGGGUUGUAAAGCUCUUUUACCCGGGAUGAUAAUGACCGUACCGGGAGAAUAAGCCCCGGCUAACUCCGUGCCAGCAGCCGCGGUAAUACGGAGGGGGCUAGCGUUGUUCGGAAUCACUGGGCGUAAAGCGUGCGUAGGCGGCCAUUCAAGUCAGAGGUGAAAGCCCAGGGCUCAACCUUGGAACUGCCUUUGAAACUAGAUGGCUGGAACACGGGAGAGGUGAGUGGAAUUCCGAGUGUAGAGGUGAAAUUCGUAGAUAUUCGGAAGAACACCAGUGGCGAAGGCGGCUCACUGGACCGUUGUUGACGCUGAGGCACGAAAGCGUGGGGAGCAAACAGGA
rnacentral:rRNA from 1 species